rnacentral:lncRNA from 1 species
AGGGGUUUUUGGUGAGAGGAACUUGAGAUUGAGAGCGAAAGAGAGAUGCUGAGGGUGAGCGACGAGAGCGAUUGAGAGAGAUUUCUUCGAGUUUGGGAGCGAGUUCCUGAGAAGAGAGAGCGAGCUUGCAGGGAGCGUGAGAUGGGGAGGGAACGAGUCUGUAUCUUUUUCAAUUUAUUUUAUUUUUUUCUUUUCUUUAAAUCAUUUUAAAUAGGAUAGUUUUUUUCAGAAACCUUUAGAUUUUGUUUAAACUUCCUAAGUAGCUAAUAAGUGUUUCCAUGUUUCCAAUUCAUAUUCCCUGGAAAAACCCAACAGCCAGGCGGCUGGGUUUAACUACUGGUAGUCUAACAGACUUUUUUUUUAUUUCAGUUUUUAUUUCUAAUGUUUAAUCUAUUUUGGUUUAUAUAUUUAAGGUAGCAUCAAAAUAAUAAAUAACCAUGAAUGGCUUAGUGGAGAGAGGGUAGUUGCAUAAUAUUAGGUGGGGAGGGUUCAAUACUCAUGUGUGUUGCUUUUUGCUUGUUAUUUGAUUUUAUCUUCCUUUAGCAUUUUUUAUUCUUUUAGUAUGUUGAUUAAUAUCUUUUUAUGUUUAUUAUACUCAUGAUUUCAUUUGUUAAUAAUGCAUAGUUGUUGUAUUUUAGUUUAGUUCAAAACCAUUUUUUUAAACUAUAAAAAUCAUACUUUUCUCGAUUUAAUAUCGAGCCCAUUUUUUACACCCUUGUAAGUCGAUUGCUUUUUAAGCAUCGCCAUCGACCUCACAUAGCUUACUCUUGGGCUUUCUUACAAUGAGCCGGUUCCUUUGCACUUACACUCAUACAUUGUUUAAUGCUUUAUUAUUUCAUUCUUUGAUUAUUUGAUUCGAUUAUAUACUUGUUUAUAUCUUACUUGUUUGAUUAACUGUGGCCUACUUGUAUGGUGUUUGAG